rnacentral:lncRNA from 1 species
AUGACCUCUCUGGUGGGUGAAUAUGAAAAACAGGCUUGUUUUCUUUUCUAAAGAAAUGCUGGCAUGCUUGACUUUAGUGAAUCAAGAGAAUUGUUUGGCAAAUAACAGUGAUGGCUUGUGUCCUUGUCAGAACACCUGCUGUAUUCUCCCGGCAAACACUGGGGCCAUGGUGUUUCUCCUCUAAUGACACCUCAUCAAUCCGCUCCUAUCAACGUCCCAGCCAUGGAGGUGACUUGGAGUGCUCAGAAGCUAUAGAAAAUGUCAACGUUUUGGGAGAAAAGAGUGAGUCCCAUAGCUGAGGACCUGCUGCUGUGAUACUUUUGUACUCAUGCCUCACCCUCAUUCUCGCUGUUCUCCAAAAAAGUAAGUAAUGUCAGAUGGAGAUGCUCUUCUCAGUUGCACCCUAAUUUUACACUGGGAGUGACCCUGCUUCCUUCAUGCUUCAGUUCUCCUGAGAUGGGAAUGCAGAUGCAUGGCAGGAAGAAGAACUGUGCUGUGCUGCAGCUAGUUCCCAAACUGGGCAGUUUGGGGAGCAGGACUGCAGGAUACCACGGUGUGGCACCUCUGCUUGCAGGCUAGAUGUUUUCUCUGGUGGUGAAGGCCAGACUCAGGCACUGCAGUUGGCCUCUCCCAGGAUGAAGACUUCCAUAUACACUAAGUUUACGGGGUUGGAGUCAGCGCAUAAAGAAGUGUGCUCAGCAUGUGUUUCAGGGUGUUAACAUCCAUGAUGUAUAUGCUUGCCCUUGUUCGGUGAGUACAGCUUCGCUCCUAAUUAAGAAUUGCAGUAAUCAGGCAAGAGGUUUAUUGUGUGAAGCUGAAGAGCCAAAAUUAUUUGUGAAUUCAGUUCAGAUUCAAUGAGUUUUUUUUCACACAAGCUAGAAAUGGUUGUUUCAUUUCUACAUUUUGAAACAAAAUACUUUCAUUUUGAAACAAAUCUAAUUUCCUUCUUAGAGUGUGAAAUGAUAAUUGUUUUGCUGUAAAAACUAUUCUUGGGUUGAUCCAAGCCACUAGUAUUGUUGUGUUGGUGUUGUGGGUUUUGUGUGUGUGCUUUUUUUAAAAUUGUCAGCUGGAAAAAAUUAACUAUUUGCACAGUUGGUUACAUGAGACAGAUCAACAGCUCUGGGGCCGUAUCUGAGAUCAGGGUCUCUGCCAAGAAACAGGCUCAGCUGACGUUUAUUCUGCCACAGGCAGAGUAGAUGUAUCCAACACGUUCCUUGCAAAGCUUUGUCUUUGCUGGGUAUGGGGGUAAGAAAGGGAAU